rnacentral:ncRNA from 1 species
UACGAGCUCUCGUACAGUGAAACUGCGAAUGGCUCAUUAAAUCAGUUAUGGUUCAUUUGAUCGUACAGUUUACUUGGAUAACUGUGGUAAUUCUAGAGCUAAUACAUGCGAGAAGCGCCGACCUCGCGGGAGGCGUGCAUUUAUCAGACCAAAAACCGGCCGCGUCUUCGGGCGCGUUCGCCUUGGUGACUCUGGAUAACUUUGCGGAUCGCACGGUCUAGCACCGGCGACGGAUCAUUCAAGUGUCUGCCCUAUCAACUUUCGUCGGUACGGUAUUUGCCUACCGAGGUUCUUACGGGUGACGGGGAAUCAGGGUUCGAUUCCGGAGAGGGAGCCUGAGAAACGGCUACCACAUCCAAGGAAGGCAGCAGGCGCGCAAAUUACCCAUUCCCGACGCGGGGAGGUAGUGACGAAAAAUAACAAUGCAGGACUCGUUCGAGGCCCUGUAAUUGGAAUGAGUACACUUUAAAAGCUUUAACGAGUAUCCAUUGGAGGGCAAGUCUGGUGCCAGCAGCCGCGGUAAUUCCAGCUCCAAAAGUAUAUAUUUAAGUUGUUGCGGUUAAAAAGCUCGUAGUUGGAUUUUGGGCGCAGGCGGCCGGUCCGUCGCAAGGCGUGUACUGGACGUCCUGGCCUUCCCUCGGGUCUCCGCCGGUGCUCUGACUGUUGUGAAC